UGGUGGGGUUCGUGUUGUUUAUUCUUUAGUUUUCUAUGUUAUGUCGUGUGUGCUGUUGUUUGUUUGUCUUUUUCAUUUUUAGCCAUGGCGUUGUCAGUUUGUUUUAGAUUUAUGAGUUUGACUGUCCCUUUGGUAUCUUUCGUCCCUCUUUUAUAACCACUGGGUCGAUGUCUCUGCUGGUGGACAUUUUGUCCCCGAGGACAUCAU
rnacentral:lncRNA from 1 species